AAAUUUCAAUAUAUACGCAUUAGCUACCAAUGCAAAUUAGGUCCUGCAACAAAAUCGGAUCAAUCGAUCGGUCAGCGAAUAACUAGUACUUACAAUCAUGGCUGUAGAUUUGUCAUCAAGAUUCAUUUCGACAAAGCUGCAAUGCAAUUAGUAGUCUUUGAAAAAAAUUUAAAUCAUGAAAAUCAUCCUAUUCUCUACAAGGAGCUACGAUCUACUCUCCCGGAACACCGAAGACUGUCAGAUGAAACUAAAAAGCAAACAAUUCAAAUGUUGUCAUUAGGGGCUAAGACGAGACUAGU